ACUCACGCGGGAAUCUUACCGGGUCCGGACACACUGAGGAUUGACAGACAAAUACACACACUUUUACGGUGUGUGCAUGAAAUAUGCUAGUUCUUUCAUGAUUAUGUGAUAGGUGGUGCAUGGCCGUUCUUAGUUCGUGGAGUGAUCUGUCUGCUUAAUUGCGUUUCACUAAAGGCACAUACACAUAAUAUUGAUGCGUUGUGUGUAUAAUUUAUAAUUAUACGCAUACACACAUAUUAUAUUGUGCUUUGAAAGCAACGAACGUGACCGCAACCUCUUGUUGCCUGUAUAUAUGUGUAUUUUAUACACACCACAGGCUAUUAUAAACUAGAGGGACCGCUGUUACUUUCUUUUAAACCAGAGGAAGGUUGCGGCAAUAACAGGUCUGUGAUGCCCUUAGAUGUUCCGGGCUGCACACGUGCUACAAUGAUCAUUGCAGUGCGCAUCUCAUUUUGUUAUACACUGCUUGUGCGUAUGUGCAUCACAUAUAUUUAUAUGUGUGUGUGUAUGUAUUGCACGCAGUAAAGCCUACUUCGAAAGUUGUGGGUAAUCAAUUUGAAGUAAUGAUUUCUCCAAAUAUAUACUGCACACUCAUAUACAGUGUCUUAUGUCCAUGAAAAUAUUUUAUUUUUGUGUGUGCAUUCGAUGCUCGUAUGUGCAAUUGUCAAUUCAUGGUGGGGACAGACCAUUGUUAAUUGUUGGUCUCGGUCUUAACUAGGAAUGCCUUGUACGGGUCUUUGGUUCAACAAACCACCCGGAAUACGUCCCUGCCCUUUGUACACACCGCCCGUCGCUCUUACCGAUGGACUUCUCUGUGAGUUUGAGGGACUGGAUUUUAUAUCUAUGGAAACUCAAACGAACAGUGUGGUCUAAAGGAAAGAGAAGUCGUAACAAGGCAUCCGUAGGUGAACCU
rnacentral:rRNA from 1 species